rnacentral:rRNA from 1 species
UGCAGAAUCCCGUGAACCAUCGAGUCUUUGAACGCAAGUUGCGCCCGAUGCCAUUAGGUUGAGGGCACGUCUGCCUGGGUGUCACAUAUCGAAGCCUCCUGCCAAUUUCCUUUUGACAGGUAUUGUGCAGGGUGGAUGUUGGCCUCCCGUGAACUCUUUUGUCUCAUGGUUGGUUGAAAAUUGAGACCUUGGUAGGGUGUGCCAUGAUAAAUGGUGGUUGUGUGACCCACGAGACCAAUCAUGCACUGCUCUAUUGAAUUUGGCCUCUUUUACCCAUAUGUGUUUCUAAACGCUCGUGAUGAGACCUCAGGUCAGGCGGGGCUACCCGCUGAAUUUAAGCAUAUCAAUAAGCGGAGGAAAAGAAACUAACAAGGAUUCCCUUAGUAACGGCGAGCGAACCGGGAUAAGCCCACCAUGAGAAUCGGUCGCCCUCGGCGUUCGA